GAUGAACGCUGGCGGCGUGCCUAAUACAUGCAAGUCGAGCGAACAGAUGAGGAGCUUGCUCCUCUGACGUUAGCGGCGGACGGGUGAGUAACACGUGGAUAACCUACCUAUAAGACUGGGAUAACUUCGGGAAACCGGAGCUAAUACCGGAUAAUAUAUUGAACCGCAUGGUUCAAUAGUGAAAGACGGUUUUGCUGUCACUUAUAGAUGGAUCCGCGCCGCAUUAGCUAGUUGGUAAGGUAACGGCUUACCAAGGCAACGAUGCGUAGCCGACCUGAGGGGGUGAUCGGCCACACUGGAACGGAGACACGGUCCAGACUCCUACGGGAGGCAGCAGUAGGGAAUCUUCCGCAAUGGGCGAAAGCCUGACGGAGCAACGCCGCGUGAGUGAUGAAGGUCUUCGGAUCGUAAAACUCUGUUAUUAGGGAAGAACAAAUGUGUAAGUAACUAUGCACGUCUUGACGGUACCUAAUCAGAAAGCCACGGCUAACUACGUG
rnacentral:rRNA from 1 species